AUACUUACCUGGCAGGGGAGAUACCAUGAUCCAGUAGGUGGUUUUCCCAGGGCGAGGCUCAUCCAUUGCACCGCGGAUGUGCUGACCCCUGCGAUUUCCCCACAUGUGGGAAACUCGACUGCAUAAUUUGUGGUAGUGGGGGACUGCGUUCGCGCUCUCCCCUG
ensembl:snRNA U1 U1 spliceosomal RNA